rnacentral:rRNA from 1 species
UGGGGAAUAUUGCACAAUGGGCGCAAGCCUGAUGCAGCCAUGCCGCGUGUAUGAAGAAGGCCUUCGGGUUGUAAAGUACUUUCAGUCGGGAGGAAGGUGGUAAGGUUAAUAACCUUAUCAAUUGACGUUACCGACAGAAGAAGCACCGGCUAACUCCGUGCCAGCAGCCGCGGUAAUACGGAGGGUGCAAGCGUUAAUCGGAAUUACUGGGCGUAAAGCGCACGCAGGCGGUUGAUUGAGUCAGAUGUGAAAUCCCCGGGCUUAACCCGGGAAUUGCAUCUGAUACUGGUCAGCUAGAGUCUUGUAGAGGGGGGUAGAAUUCCAUGUGUAGCGGUGAAAUGCGUAGAGAUGUGGAGGAAUACCGGUGGCGAAGGCGGCCCCCUGGACAAAGACUGACGCUGAGGUGCGAAAGCGUGGGGAGCAAACAGG